CGGAUGUAAAUCCUUAUAAAAAGCUUUCUUAUCAUACGUUGCAGUUAUAUCGUUUAAACUAACGUUGAUAACAUAACAUUGAAAGGAGAAAUAAAUUAAAGCAGAAGGAAAUUCAUUGUAAUGCAAACUAGAAAUAUCGCCUACUUACUGAUAAGCCUAUUAGUCCUGCAAAUGAUGUCAGAAAUUGCUGGCCGGCCACAUAACUGCUGCAGUUACAGACAAUGUCCACGAGGUAGAUUGUGCGUAAAUAUUGGUUCUCGUUGUCGUUGCAAGAGCAAUCGUGUAGUUACGGACUUUUUCGUCAUGCUUAAAGGACCUGCGAAAAGGCACAGACAUCAACAUAGGUACUAGAACCGUCAGAUCGGACUAUAACUGUUUUUAGGGAUGAUCUCGUUCUUUUCAACUGUGAUAUCAAUUUAUAGUACUGUGAUGUCUUCUGUUUAAAUCACUGCCAUACGAACACUACAUGUGCGAAAUGAACUAUUCACAACGCGACAUGAGCACUACAAACCGUAAUGCAAAAGAUACAUGAAAUGUGAUAUAUGAAAUCAACAAAAGUGAAAUGUGAAUUUGUCAAAAUUCGAUAUCAAAUCUUGACAUUCGGAUAGUGACAUACUGCCUCUAGUCAUUAGUACAGUCGCUAUGCAUUUUAACUGCCUAUACUUGCUGAAUUUAUUUAUUUAUUUAUUUGGGUUUUACGGCGCACCAACACAGUAUAGGUUAUAUGGCGCCAAACAGGACUACAACUAUACUUGCUGAAACAUUUUACAUAUCGAUUACAUUAAAAUAUUUGUAAAUAUACAUAUGUUUUACAUUCUAUUUAUUGUUGUGUGUAUUCCACUAUGUUCUACCGGUCAGUAUAAUUUAUUUCAACUUUAUCACAUUUUGUUUUAUUUGUUUUAAUAUGUCAAAUUUUUUUUAUAUAUUUUCGUCUCAUUGUGUUUCAUUUUUUAGUAAACUUUUAAACUUUC